rnacentral:siRNA from 1 species
UAAGUCCCAACUUGAGGAUUU